GAAAACAAACGAUCGCUUGUUUUUAUACCUAUAAAAAGCGCAUACUUACACGCUAAAGUAACAAAAUAACAAAACAGUUGCAGUUUCAACAGAAAAAACGUUUUUGUUUCCCACCUCAGAUUUCAUAUUCCGCAAAUUUGUUCCUCGAAUUAUUUUAAUUUUAUUUAAUUUGUCACCUUGUGUCGAAGAAGCGUUCAGAUCAUUUAAUUUCCAACAACAUUUAAUUAAAUCCUUUUUAUUAAGUAUCUUUUUUCGAUCGUGAGAUGCUGUAUUUGUGUUCAUCGUACCAUUCCGUAACUUGCCUAUAUAUACAGGAAUACAUAGAAAAAAAAAAAAAGAAAAAAAGAAAAAAAAAAUAUAUAUUAUAUAUAUAUAUAUAUAUAUAUAUAUAUAUAUAUAUAUAUAUAUAUAUAUAUAUAUAUGUUUGUGUAUUUAUAAUAAUCGAUCAGUAAAAGAAAAUAUCAUUUUCUUAUCAUACUUCUUUAACGAAUUACAAAUACUUCACGCUAUAUAAUAAUUACCUAAUAUUUGCGAUAAUUUAGAUUUGUCUACUUUAUCCGUAGGUAAGUCACAGUAAUCUCUUGAUCCUAAAAUAAAGACACAAAAGCUUUCUCUAUAGCACAAUUAUAUUAUUAGCAUAAUCUUUUUUUUUUCUUUUCUAUUAUUUUUAUUUACUAUUAUCCUCUAAUUUAGAUGUACGUAGUAGUUUUUAAUUAAAAAUAUAUAGUAAGCAGUUUUUAAUCACAUGCCGGUAUUUAACGAAAUAUAUAAAAUAUAUCUACAUAAUAUAUUUAGAGAAUAAUGCAAUUAUAUUCGCAAUUUCGACAGGCUAAAGUUCUGUAAAUUAUAACUUUACAAUGUCUUCCAUCAUUUUCCUUAGGCGCAUAUUAAAGAAAGAAAGAAAAAAAGAAGAGCUUUCACGGAUUCAAAUAAUAUAACUAUAAGAACGAUGAAAUACUUGCCUGGAUAUUUAUUUCGGUGAUCGCAAUUAGGAUAAUCAAUUUGAAGAUGGUCACGUUUAUUAUUCUCUAAUUUAUUAACGAUGGAAUAUAUUCCUCGUCUGUGAUGUAAUACCAUGUCGCUCUCCCCACGAUACUUAAGUCUGUAAUACAAUGUUAUCAUAUAUUUGCUAUUUUAUUUAUAUAUAAUUCUCUAUUCACUCUAAUAGCAGUCAAAAAUAUAUUAGCCGCCAAGCUUGUUGAUGUCCAAUAACUGAGCCAGAUCGACAAAUUCGUGUCCAAGCUAUAGCUUCUUUGGCUGUCAUAUUAUAAUGCUUUAUUAAAUACGCUGCUAUCAGAGAACCUGUCCUGCCCAAUCCUGCCUAAUUAUGCGCAACAUUAUGAACAUAUAUUACAUAUACCAAAGUAUAUUGAUUUUUUUUUCUUUUUAGAAAUUAUUAGAUUAAUAUUAGUACAAAAUGCUUUCUCUCCAGUGGACAGCAAUGGCACCAUUUGUAGUUUCCACCAGUCGAAGAAAUUUACAGAGAAUUCUUUUUGGUGGUACCGUACCAUCUGGCAUAAACAUAUCGUAAUGCGAUAUUCCUGCUUUUGUAAAACUAUUGGAUAAUAACAAUUAUAAAUAUAUUAUUAUUAUUAUUAUUAUUAUUAUUAUUAUUAUUAUUAUUAUUAUUAUUAUUAUUAUUAUUAUUAUUAUUCAAGGUAUACAUGUAUAAAUCAGUUGAUUUAGUUUACAUUGGGAUAAAUUUUUUCUUUCUUUUUUUUUUUGUAAAUCGCCAAAAAUUAUUUACCUGUUAGAAUCAUAAGUUUUUGUAUUCAAUCUUACAACAGCAACAACGCCAUUGUUUAGAAAGUAAUUUAUGUAAUAUUGUGGUGGAUGAUAUAUCGUUUUAUUUUCUGUACUUGGGGUAACAAAGGCCAAUAAUUUUUGUGGUAUCAUCCAAUUUAAAUCACCAUUUUGAAAUUGUUCAUAUUUUUCGUAUUCGAUUAAAUCAAAGUCAUCAAAAUUAAAUAGGCCAAACAAUGCGGCUUUGUAAAUAGCAUUUAAACAAUCUAGAUUAUUAUUAGAAUUGAAUUAGAUCAGGAUUAAGAUUAUUAUGGUCGUUCCAAGUAUAGUAAUAAAUAACGAAGGAAAAUAUUACCAAGUAAA